GGGGGGUGACACAAUAAACUCUUUAUGCUUAAGAGAAUAGCGAAGGAAUUGCGGGAGGCCGUUGGAAACAUAGCAGUGAAGAAAUGGUUUGGCUUUUGUCUGUCCCUCAAGGUAACGUGAACGUGCCCAUGGGGUUGCUGAGCUGCCUCUGAUGUGCUGGGAGGAGCCUGCGCAUAAAGCAGCAUCGAAGCCCUGCAGCACUAACAGAGACAAGCCGCAUAAUGAACUGCAGAAUCCUUUAUUUCUUGAGCACCAGAAGUAAGGGACUUUGCCAUGUGUGUUUGUACAGACCUGGUUUUCAGUGCAGACCUAUGCUUGAAAUUUGCUACUGCCUGCAGUGCCCUGGUGCCUGGAGAGGCAGGAAGCACUCUGGAGCUGUGAGUCCCCAGUGGAAACAUAAAGGGGUUAACUGGCUGCUGCCUGCAGAGACUAUUUCAUGGGAGUCCCGACUCUUUAGAUCUCAAAUACUGAGAAGACACGCGAGACAAUAACCCCUUGGAGUA